UCAGUCAUGUUUCUGGUGCUCAUCCCACUACUGGAGCUGAUUCUUGCCCUGAGAGGAGCUGGAGCCCAGUCAGUCACCCAGCCUGAUGGCCACAUCACUGUCUCUGAAGGAGACUCUCUGGAGCUCAAGUGCAAUUACUCUUCCUCUUAUUCAGUGUCUCUCUUCUGGUACGUGCAGUACCCCAGAGGAGGACUCCAGCUUCUGCUCAAGUACCUAUCAGGAGACCUGCUGGUUAAAGGCAUCAGAGGAUUUGAAGCUGAAUUUAAGAAGAGUGAAACUUCCUUCCACCUGAAGAAAUCCUCAGCCCAGCUGAGCGACCAGGCCCUGUACUUCUGUGCCAUCAGUGACACAGUGACUGGGACGGCCUAUGGAUUCCAGCAGCCCCAUGAAUCCUUUAAGGCCAGUUGUAACCACUCCAACACUCCCUGUAUGUAUUUCAAAUUGGGUGUGAGGAACCAAGCCAAUCAGAGCGGAUUUCUCUCAGACAAGCUUUCACAUUGCUAUGCACCAGAGGCAUCUUUGCUCUUGGAAGUGUUUGCGAUUUCUGAGAACCUUUAUCUAAGCCCAACAAUGGCUCCUAAACAUGCUGCUCCUUCUAAGCCUUCUGACGAUGACACUAAGUGCCGAGGAAGAUGCUCACCAUCCAGGAGAAGGUGA